CGAAAGCAAAACAAUAACUUUUAUCCGCAUUUCCAAGCCAUAACUAACGUUUGUUUAUCAAUAGCUUGGCAUAAAGAAACAAUAAUCGAUGGCGUUUUAACACAAACCACACUGUUUAUUGUCAUUUUUUAAAAAUCCGGAUGUGGGUCAUAAGACGCAAUUAUUGGAACAUGAAUCGUGACACUUUGUUACUUCAGGUCGACGAUCUUUAAUGUCCAUCAUGAUUAAUAAGAAGGUAAUUAACGGUUGGAUGGUUCGAAGACGGCAAAAAGUUAACGGACAGACCGAGGAAUCAUGUUGUUUGCGGUGAACUUGCUGGAUAAAAAAAUCUGGGAAUUUCGACUUGUCCAAUCGACAAUAAAUCACUAGUAGAGACUAGUUUUGUGUGC